UAGCUCAGUCAGUUGAGCGUGGCGCUAACAACGCCAAGGUCGCAGGUUCAGUUCCCGU
rnacentral:tRNA from 1 species